AUUGUUUUACUCUCGAGUUUUGUGAAACAAUCGAUUAUAAUCAAGUUUCCCAUAGCAGUGUUUCAUUGACGAGUUGUUCAUUGACAAACUUGAAACCAGAUAAGGUUAAUCAACCUGAGCUAUUUGAACAAUUAAAAGAUGACAGCAAAAUUUGUUCGAUUUACAUAAAUCAUAAGAAGAUUACAGGAAAGAGUAAAACUGAUCCACAUUCAGCAGAAUUAUCAGCACCAAAGGAAUCAAGCAAUUCUAAUUUAGCAAUCGGAUUGGGAGCAGCAGUAUUCGUUAUGGCGUUUGCUGGUGGAUUCAUUGGAUUUAAAUUUGCUGCUAAAAAAGAGAUCAUUUCAUAGACUAAUUGACAGCCAAAAAUCAACAUCAGAGGAAACCUGAAAAUCAUGUUCACGUAAUCUUAAUCAGUCUGAUACAAUCACAAUAAGUACCAAUAAG
rnacentral:lncRNA from 1 species